rnacentral:rRNA from 1 species
GACGAACGCUGGCGGCGUGCCUAAUACAUGCAAGUAGAACGCUGAAGAGAGGAGCUUGCUCUUCUUGGAUGAGUUGCGAACGGGUGAGUAACGCGUAGGUAACCUGCCUUGUAGCGGGGGAUAACUAUUGGAAACGAUAGCUAAUACCGCAUAACAAUGGAUGACACAUGUCAUUUAUUUGAAAGGGGCAAUUGCUCCACUACAAGAUGGACCUGCGUUGUAUUAGCUAGUAGGUGAGGUAACGGCUCACCUAGGCGACGAUACAUAGCCGACCUGAGAGGGUGAUCGGCCACACUGGGACUGAGACACGGCCCAGACUCCUACGGGAGGCAGCAGUAGGGAAUCUUCGGCAAUGGGGGCAACCCUGACCGAGCAACGCCGCGUGAGUGAAGAAGGUUUUCGGAUCGUAAAGCUCGGUUGUAAGUCAAGAACGAGUGUGAGAGUGGAAAGUUCACACUGUGACGGUAGCUUACCAGAAAGGGACGGCUAACUACGUG